GUAUUUUUAAAAUAAUAUAAUUGAAGGCUUUGUAUUCUUUGCAUCCCUUCUUUCUCUGUUCUUCCCCAAUCUUCUGGCAUUGGCCAUGUUUACUAAGGGCAGGUUACUAGCUCUCCUUUUA